rnacentral:rRNA from 1 species
AGCGAACGCUGGCGGCAGGCUUAACACAUGCAAGUCGAGCGCCCCGCAAGGGGAGCGGCAGACGGGUGAGUAACACGUGGGAACGUACCCUUUGGUUCGGAACAACCCAGGGAAACUCGGGCUAAUACCGGAUACGUCCGUAAGGAGAAAGAUUUAUCGCCAAAGGAUCGGCCCGCGUCUGAUUAGCUAGUUGGUGAGGUAAUGGCUCACCAAGGCUACGAUCAGUAGCUGGUCUGAGAGGAUGAUCAGCCACAUUGGGACUGAGACACGGCCCAAACUCCUACGGGAGGCAGCAGUGGGGAAUAUUGGACAAUGGGGGCAACCCUGAUCCAGCCAAGCCGCGUGAGUGAUGAAGGCCCUAGGGUUGUAAAGCUCUUUUAGCAGGGAAGAUAAUGACGGUACCUGCAGAAAAAGCCCCGGCUAACUUCGUGCCAGCCGCCGCCGUAA